UACGGAGGAUCCGAGCGUUAUCCGGAUUUAUUGGGUUUAAAGGGUGCGUAGGCGGCUUUUUAAGUCAGCGGUGAAAUUUUGCAGCUUAACUGUAACAGUGCCGUUGAUACUGGGGAGCUAGGAUUUGGUUGCUUUGGGUGGAAUGUGUGGUGUAGCGGUGAAAUGCUUAGAGAUCACACAGAAUAUCGAUUGCGAAGGCAGCUCACAAAGCCAAGAUUGACGCUGAGGCACGAAAGUGUGGGGAUCAAACAGGAUUAGAUA
rnacentral:rRNA from 1 species